GACGAACGCUGGCGGCGUGCCUAACACAUGCAAGUCGAACGGAAAGUUAGCAAUAACUUUUAGUGGCGAACGGGUGAGUAACGCGUGGGCAACCUGCCCUUCAGACGGGGACAACAUUCCGAAAGGAGUGCUAAUACCGGAUACGACCUUUGGACCGCAUGGUUUAAAGGAGAAAGGUGGCCUCUAUUUAUAAGCUACCGCUGAAGGAUGGGCCUGCGUCUGAUUAGCUAGUUGGUGGGGUAACGGCUCACCUAGGCGACGAUCCCGAGCUGGUCUGAGAGGAUGAACCGACACACGGGAACUGAGACACGGUCCAGACUCCUACGGGAGGCAGCAGUGGGGAAUAUUGGACAAUGGGGGGAACCCUGAUCCAGCAAUGCCGCGUGUGUGAAGAAGGCCUGAGGGUUGUAAAGCACUUUCGGUGGGGAGGAGGUUAUAUAGGUUAAGAGCUGAUAUAAUGGACGUUACCCACGGAAGAAGCACCGGCUAACUCCGUGCCAGCCGCCGCAGAAA
rnacentral:rRNA from 1 species